GUUUUGGCUCAGUAUAUAAAGGAAUUCUUCAACGGCUAGGAGAAUGUUUUGUGGCUAUAAAGGUACUCAAUCUUCAACAACAUGGAGCUUGCAAGGGCUUCAUUGCUGAGUGCAAAGCAUUGAAAAUCAUCAGGCAUCGGAAUCUGGUUAAAAUCUUGACAUACUGCUCCAGCAUUGAUUUCAAAGGCAACGAUUUCAAAGCUCUAGUCUAUACAUUUAUGGAAAAUGGCAGUUUGGAAAUGUGGUUGCAUCCA
rnacentral:misc_RNA from 1 species